rnacentral:lncRNA from 1 species
UGCAGAAGUUCCAGAACCAGAGAAAGAUGUUAAUGCUGAGGAACCUGUUCCUGCUCCCGUUCCGGUGAAGAAUAAAGUUCAGAAGGAGAAUACAGUAAGGUACAAGAAUCGAAGUAGAGCACGGGAGUCACUUCCUAGAUCCAUCCUGAAACGUAAGAAGUCGACCAACUACUGGAUAUGGGCGGCUCCUGCCGCGGUUGUGGUGCUGAUACUUGUAGCUUUGGCUUACUAUUAUCUUGUUUGAAGAAGUUAACUGAGAGUUAUAGACAAAGUUUAUGGGUUGAUAGUGGGAAAAGUUAGUUAAUUUGGUUGGAUGCAUCCCAUGAAGGGAUGUACUAAAAGAACUCGUAAUGUUGAUGUUAGUGCAGUCUUAAUGCUUAGUGAGGCCAAAACUAUAUGUACUUUUGGUUUUGUUGGUGCUACUUUUUUAAAAUUUUGACUUCUG